rnacentral:rRNA from 1 species
UACGGGGGGAGCAAGCGUUGUUCGGAUUUACUGGGCGUAAAGGGCGCGUAGGCGGCCACCGCAAGUCGACUGUGAAAUCUCCGGGCUUAACCCGGAAAGGUCAGCCGAUACUGCGGGGCUAGAGUGCAGAAGGGGCAACUGGAAUUCUCGGUGUAGCGGUGAAAUGCGUAGAUAUCGAGAGGAACACCGGUGGCGAAGGCGGUUCUCUGGGCCUGUACUGACGCUGAGGAGCGAAAGCGUGGGGAGCGAACAGG